rnacentral:ribozyme from 1 species
AGACUGGCAAAACAUUCAUUAUUUCGGUGUUGUUGCCGUUGUUUUUUACAAUUUUCUUUUCAUUUCAAAC